AAUAUCCUUCUAUUCACC
rnacentral:tRNA from 1 species